UGACGCCUGCCUGGUGGGCCUGCAUCAGCUCAGGAUUAACGGCAGACGGAGGACAUCACAUAAUCACCCCCGAUGAAUAUGGAGGAGGGCCUUCGGGUUGAGAUGGGAGGAUUGCCAAAAAUGAUAACGACCCCUCCUCCGACGUCCAGAAACGUCUCCGUGGAGAAGAGCUGUGGUUGCCGAGGUAACAACUAAUUGGAACUCCUAAAUGAACAACAAACAACAACACAGAAUACAUGAAUAUGACACUCAGCAAGUCGAGCGCCCCCCCCACCCCCACCCCGCUCUGGCCCUCUCCCACCUCCCUGCGGUUCCAAUGGAUGACGGCUGCGUGGUAAAGGCCACUGGGGUCGCAAAAAAAAUAAACUAUAAUGAUAUGAUUAAGAGCUAUUUUCCGCUACUGCCAUGUUUCAGACUCUUUAUUUUUAUAUUACUGAUAAUUUGCUAUUUAAUAUUCAGGCAGGAGUCCUGGAGGUGAUUUGAAUUAUAAAAUCAGACAAGCAAGAAAGAAAUAGACUUGUGUUCUCGGUCGGCUGAAUUGUAUUAUGCUAAGUGGUCGAGCUCGGUUAAAGUCACAGCCUGUUCAAGCCGUCAGACAGAGGCUCAAACAAAGAGAGCAAGGUGGCU
ensembl:lncRNA